GGUGGGGGGUGACCGGAAGCUGGCGUCCUCUUUGCCGGGGAAGUCGUGAGAGGCCCAAGCGGGGUGACCAGCACCGGGCUGGGAGUGACCACCCGACUAACCUCCCCACACACUUGUCGGGGCUGUGGCUCCCAGAUACGAUGCUGACAAUCCCCGUUGCUGGAAGGUUCCACACGGGUCCCGGCUAACGGGGCAGAGGCCUGACGCCACCCAGUGGAACUGUGCCACGAAGACCACCAGGCCGGGCCCGAGGGGAGGAGACUGGGCAAGGGCAGCAUCUCUCAGCCCCUCUGGACGCCCACCUGCCCACCCACUGGGCACCGUACGGGCCCCGAGACCCUCCUCCCACGCCUCCUCUCCGGGCACCCACCCUCGAGACCUCCCUGCUGGCUGCCUCCGUUUCCCCUUCUGUGCCCCGGGAACGCCACGGGCUGCUGCUGCUGACAGACCCCCGGCCCCGGCCCUGUGAGCAGCUGUGACUCCCGGGAAACUUCCACUCCCAAGCGUCCCCGAGGCCGAAUUCCCCCUCUGAGCACGACUUUCCCCCAUGCCCAGGGAUCCCCCCGCUGCACGCCUGAGCCUUCCUCUUCCUCCUCCUCCUGUUUCCCUGUCUCCCUCGAGUGCCCCCCUCCCCCGAGCAGCACGGAGUGACACAGCGUAAGGAACAUGCCAGAAAGUCCUUUCCUCUGGGCUUACUAGUUCUAAUGCCAAAGCACGAAUAAAAGCGGGCGGGGGUGCCUCCAUCCUUGCCUUGCACCCAGGCCCUGACGGGCUUCUAAACUGCUCAGAGCCUCAGUUUUACCAUCUCUAAAGUGGGAGAGUAACAAUGCUGUCAGCCCCCUGAGGCCACCCCGAGUCGGCCCAUGCAGGACCCCAGGCCCACUCCUCCUUGGCCCCCAUUUCUGAGGGUGGCGUUGGACCAUGGGGCUCUCUGGGGGUGUCCUCCACUGGACAGAGGGCUCCCGCCAUUGUUAAGACCUCUGGCCAGCGGGUUCACUUGUCCAGGCAAUACUCACCCUACCCCGGGACAGGGUGAGCACACAUACACACACACAUGCACACACAUGCAUAGCCACACAUUCCUGCACAUAUCCACACACAUUCAUGUGCAAGCUCAUGCCCCGCACACCCAUAUACAUACACACGUGCUCUCAGGCACACAAACAUACGGACACGGAUAGAGGGCAGCCCGCACCCCUGGGGUAACGGGGGGGGGGGUAGGGCACUCUGGCUGCACCCACCCCUGCCCACGGGCUGCCUGCUAGGGAACAUCCAGGGCGCUCGUGGCAGGAAGGGCCCCCGAGCCUGCAACUCGUUCCCCCGCCCUCUGGGGAGCCGCCGGGCGCCCCGGUUUAUGUAAUCCCACUCACGUCAACGAGAAAUGGAAACGGGAAGUGAAGACGCCGGCAGGGGCGGCUGUCAAGCCCCGAGACCCGGGAGCCCGAGCAGAGAGAACCGAAAUUCGGCUGGUUCCUGGAUUCUGCGGGCACCUUUCCUGGGUAGCGCCUCUUCAGACCCUGGAAUAACUUGGUCCCUCGGGACGGGACAAGUGGCGCCCAGAACAGGGACCUGAAGCACGGCCAUCUACUGGACGGCGCCAGCAACGGAUUGGAGGCCCCCGAAGGAUCAGUGCUGCCCGAGUGAUCUUUGGAGGCCGGAACAUAAAAGACGACAGACCUACUAAUACAUUCUGGAUCCUGCUAUGGCCUCAUCUGGAGUAAAAUUCAUCCUCCUGGCUCAGUCUCCAGACCACCUGAGACUCCAACCCUCCAAACUUCAGCCCAGAGCAGAUCUCAGCUGGAAGUCACAAGAAAAUCUGAAGAAGACUCAGCAAAACAAAACCCGCAUGGGGAAGCACAGGCUGAAUUGGCCUGAGGACUUAGUCUGGGAUUUACGGUACCAACCUAAUCCUGAACCUCAGAGAACUUUGUACACUAGUAUAGAAUCCUUACUGUUCCAUUGUAAUCUAUGAGUGUUUUAAUCCUUAAAAAGUGUUCCUAGAAAUCAGAACUCUAAAGAUGUCUCCAGGUUAAUAUAUGUUGUAAGAACUUUAGUUGUGAGUAUCUUUAAAACUUUUUGAAAAUCUAUAAGAACUGAUAUAAUGUUUGUGACUGCAGAAUAGUUUUGCCAUGUUAAAUAAGAUGAUUGUCAACUUGUGUCCAAACUUGUGAGAUCAUGUUGUACCAAUUUCAGUGAGUUUAAACUUGUGGAAUGACUAUAGAUGUAUGUCUUAAGUCAGAAAGAUAAUGUAUGGAGAUAUCAUCAGUGAAAAUUAGAAAAGCAAAGUGUAGUUGGUUUGGAAAUGGAAAAGUUACAGGAUGUAAUGGAUGUAAAGGAAGUUUGAGGUUGUGUUUUGAGGAAAAGAAACUAAUCAAACUAUAUUGUUGUAAAACUCUUUAAAUAUAUCUGCAGAAUUGCUCUAGUAUCCAGACUCCUGUUACAGUGCUCUUAGAUCAUGGAAAAAUCAAUGUUUUCAACAUGGAACUAUAUAAAUUUUAUGUGAUGGUCACUGUGCUUCCCUGAAUCCUAUACUAUGAAGGAGACUCUAUCCCCACAGGUAACCCAUCAUCCCAUUCAGAAGAGGAAGGUGAUAUCCACUCUGACCAUAGCCAUGCUGUUUGGAACUGGACUGGCAGCUGUUUGGAACUGGAAUCAAUUCGCUUGCAACUCAGUGGAGCGGACUCUCAUCCCUUCGAACAGCUACUGAUGAGGACCUGGAGAGGAUCGAAACCUCCAUCAGUCAUCUGAGACAUGCCCCAGUUCCUGUCUGAAGUGGUGCUGCAGAACAGGAGAGGACUGGACUUAUUAUUGUUACAAAAGAGGGCGGACUCUGUGUAGCCCUUAAAGAGGAAUGCUGUUUUUAUGCAGACAAAACAGGUCUAGUACAGGAUAGCAUCAACAAGGUCAAAAAGAGCCUGGAAGAAAGGAAAAGGGCUAGAGAAAAACAGGAGUCAUGGUAUCAAAAUUGGUUUUCCACUUCACCCUGGCCGUCCACGUUACUGCCCAGCCUUUUGGGACCUCUCGUGGGUCUCCUGCUACUACUGUCCUUCAGCCCCUGGGCCUUUAGUCGCUUAACCUCUUUAAUUAAGUCGCAGAUCGACUCGGCUACCAGAAGCACGGUUGCUGUUCAUUAUCAUCGCCUUGGGCCGAUUCCGCCUCCUGAAGAGGGAGUUCCCGACCAAGUCCCAGAGACCGACCGGCUCAACUUCUCCCCAUUAGCUGAGAGAUUAGGGUCCCCUUGGUACCAUAGGCUCUGGGCUCAUUUCCCAGGAACACGGCACCCUGACAUCCCCUCUCCCACUCCGGGUCAGCUGUGAGGUUAGCCUAUGACGGGAUAUAGUGCAACGCCAGACCCGAGUAGGAGCAGCAAGGGGUCUCCAUGACGGGAGUGGUGUGAGGCCUUACCUCUUGGGUCCCCAUCACAUUCUCAGUAAGCGCUUACUCUGUGCAACCUCCCCUUAGCUUCACCUCGGGGGCGGCUGGCAGGAGAGUAACCAAGUGCCACAUAUGGAAGCACAGUGAUGGCGAGAGUAAGAAUCCCCUCACAUAGCCCAAGACAGAGCCCCUGCCCCCUCGGGUCUGGAGGCACGUUACACAGCCUAAGACACGGCGCCUCACCAACCCAGGCGGCUCUCAGUAGCCCUCAAUUUUUCAUAUAUAAACACACAGGGGGAGAUGUUGGGGGCCGAAACCUUGGAAAAGAGAACUUGGCCUUUCCCUAAACAAAGAUUAGCCACCAGGAUAUUAUGAAAAUAUAUGCGUCACAAGACAAUAGCUGAACUGUUACAGAGACAGACAUCCUGUGCUGGGGACAAAAAAGCACAGACAAAUCAUGCUCCGGCCCGUCAUGUUCCCUUACGCAAACACCCCUCGUGACCCCCUCCGGACCCCUGUUCCGGCCUGCCCUACAGCCUCUAUAUUCUGUAUACUUUCCUUCAAUAAAUGAGACCUUGACAACA